GUAGACGCUGAAGAGAGGAGCUUGCUCUUCUUGGAUGAGUUGCGAACGGGUGAGUAACGCGUAGGUAACCUGCCUUGUAGCGGGGGAUAACUAUUGGAAACGAUAGCUAAUACCGCAUAACAAUGGAUGACACAUGUCAUUUAUUUGAAAGGGGCAAUUGCUCCACUACAAGAUGGACCUGCGUUGUAUUAGCUAGUAGGUGAGGUAACGGCUCACCUAGGCGACGAUACAUAGCCGACCUGAGAGGGUGAUCGGCCACACUGGGACUGAGACACGGCCCAGACUCCUACGGGAGGCAGCAGUAGGGAAUCUUCGGCAAUGGGGGCAACCCUGACCGAGCAACGCCGCGUGAGUGAAGAAGGUUUUCGGAUCGUAAAGCUCUGUUGUAAGUCAAGAACGAGUGUGAGAGUGGAAAGUUCACACUGUGACGGUAGCUUACCAGAAAGGGACGGCUAACUACGUGCCAGCAGCCGCGGUAAUACGUAGGUCCCGAGCGUUGUCCGGAUUUAUUGGGCGUAAAGCGAGCGCAGGCGGUUUGAUAAGUCUGAAGUUAAAGGCUGUGGCUCAACCAUAGUUCGCUUUGGAAACUGUCAAACUUGAGUGCAGAAGGGGAGAGUGGAAUUCCAUGUGUAGCGGUGAAAUGCGUAGAUAUAUGGAGGAACACCGGUGGCGAAAGCGGCUCUCUGGUCUGUAACUGACGCUGAGGCUCGAAAGCGUGGGGAGCGAACAGGAUUAGAUACCCUGGUAGUCCACGCCGUAAACGAUGAGUGCUAGGUGUUGGAUCCUUUCCGGGAUUCAGUGCCGCAGCUAACGCAUUAAGCACUCCGCCUGGGGAGUACGACCGCAAGGUUGAAACUCAAAGGAAUUGACGGGGGCCCGCACAAGCGGUGGAGCAUGUGGUUUAAUUCGAAGCAACGCGAAGAACCUUACCAGGUCUUGACAUCCCGAUGCUAUUUCUAGAGAUAGAAAGUUACUUCGGUACAUCGGUGACAGGUGGUGCAUGGUUGUCGUCAGCUCGUGUCGUGAGAUGUUGGGUUAAGUCCCGCAACGAGCGCAACCCCUAUUGUUAGUUGCCAUCAUUCAGUUGGGCACUCUAGCGAGACUGCCGGUAAUAAACCGGAGGAAGGUGGGGAUGACGUCAAAUCAUCAUGCCCCUUAUGACCUGGGCUACACACGUGCUACAAUGGUUGGUACAACGAGUUGCGAGUCGGUGACGGCAAGCUAAUCUCUUAAAGCCAAUCUCAGUUCGGAUUGUAGGCUGCAACUCGCCUACAUGAAGUCGGAAUCGCUAGUAAUCGCGGAUCAGCACGCCGCGGUGAAUACGUUCCCGGGCCUUGUACACACCGCCCGUCACACCACGAGAGUUUGUAACACCCGAAGUCGGUGAGGUAACCUUUUGGAGCCA
rnacentral:rRNA from 1 species